AAUCAAGGAACGACUAAAGUUUUCUUAUAUGGAGAAGUUUUCUUCAUCGUUUAUUGCCAUUCUUGAUUUCCCUCGAACGCUGGAUCUUUCGUUGCUUGCUACGGAUUUUCUUGUCUCUGACUAAACGUGCGUGUUAUGAAAAUAGUAACCUACUAGGCAGUAACUCGCGAUGUGAGCGGAGUAAAAUAGUUUAUUAGAUUAUUUAUAGUAUGUUGUACUAAAAGAUUUGUCAUAUAGCUUUUUUUGGAAUAAAUAUUCAUAUAUCUGUUCGAAUUCUGUUGAUCUAUCGGGAUUUCACACUUUUAGAGUUAUAUAUUUAAAUCUUAUUCAGAUAUUUACAAAUUUUGGUUUAGAUUUGGUUUCGAAUCUUUGCGGGUUCAGUUCGGAUUCGAGUUCGGAUACCCAUUUUAAUCAGGUAUUUUUUAACAAAUAUCUUAAUAUACUUAAAUGCUCAAAAUCCAAAAAUAAAAUAAUAUAAAACAUAAAAAAUUAAUAAUGUAAGACUAACUAUUUAAAUUUACAUAAAAAUUCAUUCAAUUUAAAUAUUUGGAUGGAGAACAAAUAAAUAUUAUCAGUAUUUUUAACAUUUACUGUUAUUUUUAGAUAUUUAAUUGUGUCUAUGUUGAUAAUUUUGAGAUACUUUCAUAUUUUUGAAUAUCUAAUGAAUAUAAAAUUUAAAAUAAUUAAUAUAUUUAAAUAUAUAAUUGAGAUUUAGAUAUUUUGGUAUCCAAAAUAUUUUAUUUUGGAUUAGAUUCGAUUCUUGUUAUCUAGAUAUUAAACUUUUAAUCCAUCUGAAUAUACUUAAUCGUUUUAGUUUGUGUUUAGUAUUACUUUCAAAUCUAGUUCGAUUCAGUUUCAGAUCCAGAUGAGUUAAUCAAAUAAAUAGUGUGUGAACACAUUAAAUUAUUUGCGGUAGAGUUAAAAAAUUAGUGUGUGAAUGCAAUAAUUGUUAAAUGAUUGUGAGACCGACACGUCAGCAUACUCAAAUUGAAAUCAAUGUGAAGCUAUAACGUAGAAAAUAUAAUGUGAACGCAUUAAUUACAAAUGUUUCACUUUUAAUAUAUUGGAGAUACUAAAAUACGAUAAUAAAAAAAAAAUCUAUACUAUACUAAAAGGCCAAUAUACUGAAAGAAGAAGCAUGCCACGUGUGUUUGGAAAAUCAUCCAAUCAAAUAUAAUUAUUCUGCCACAUCAUUUUGCCUACUCACAUACAGCCACUUCGUGUCUUUACAGAAAACAGUUACGAAAAUCAUCCACGGACCACGGUCAAUCUCAUCUCUUCGCCUUCUUCCCAAAUUUAUUGCCAUUGAUCUCUUCCUCUCAUUCCCUGUAAUUUCGUUUCUGAUAAGCUUAAUUUCUCAUCACCCAUGAUCUAUAUUCAAUAUGGGUUCCUGAGACUGCGAGGCGAUUGCGUUCGACGAUAAAAGGUAUGAGCUCUUGCGUUUAGAAUCAUCUUCUCAUCUAUUCUAAACUAAACAUCAAAGAAAAAAAGUGUGAUUGUGGUGAACGCUUUGGUUUCCUCUCCGAUCUAUAAACUGGCCGCUCUUCCUCCACUGUUCAAAUCGCCUGCUUCGAUCUACAGAAGUCAGUCGAUGUUCUUCAACCAUGGCGGUGAGUUUUCUAAGAUUCUGGGAAGCCAGAAACGUCGAGAGAUGAUGGCGUCGAUAUGCUCUUACUGGAUUCAAAGGCGACCCUCAUGCUGGCCACUGUGAAUGUUAACCGGCUUGCAACUUACAGGACUUAUCUCAAGGAGGGUUCAAUGUAUUCCAUCACCGGUUUUGAUAUUCAAUGUUCCGUGAAAUCAGAACUUCUGGCUUUCCUACUCCUCCCUGUUGAUUAGAUUCAGUGAUGCUACCUCUUUGGAUGAAAUAACUAAACCGGCUUCACCCAUACCUGAAGAAUGUUUCAGGUUAUGUAAUAACACGAGAUGCUUGGUCUUGCCGACUCACACUCAAUUCCCAAGUAUUUACACUCUAUUUCAACAAGGAGACUAAUGCUGGGGAAAGCUAUUUUUACAAGCUGGUCUCUAGCGACACUGGGCAUGCAUCAGCAGCUCCACUGCUGAGGGGCUAUGCCAAGGUUGAGCCUCUGACUAUAGCUGAGCUCAAAUGAAUUCAGUGACAAGAAUGAAGAAGGGCUCAGAUAGACAAAGGGUGAUGCUACGUUUCUUGCUCCAACUGUACCAGGAAGCUUCAACGCACUAUCUCAGCCUUUACAUGUGUUCACUGCAACAAUACUAAAGCUGUUGGUGUCCUUCGGCAUGUAUAAUUCCGUAGCAUGUUGUUUACAUUCAUUUUGGUAUCACGUGUAGGUCUCAACUUUUUAUACACGUUCACUGUCUUAUAGCUACCUUGUGGAGAUGGCCAUUGCUGAUGAUACUGCUGUAGAGUCUAUUUUUCUGCUUUGACAGGGUAAUGACGAAACUGCAUAACAUGAGAGUCUAUGAAGAUGAUAUUCCUGGUGCCAUCUCGGUACCUGCUAAGGCAGAGCCGAAUACAUGAGCAGGUCUAAGUGGUGUCAACACAACUAAGUCUCCAGCACUAGGGUGUUCUAAGAUGGUCAAGAAAGCACGCAAGUCAUAGAUUAAAAUAAUGAUAGAUCUGGCAUCAGUAUUUCCUCUUUGAAUAAUGCUUAGGCAUUGUUGUUUUUCUUUUGUUUUUGAACAAGUUCGUUUAUGUUUUACUCCUCUUUUGGUUAAUUUAUGUUUGGUUUAGACUCUCUUUAUAAAAUAUGUCUCAGUUUCCACAAUUGUUGUACAUCUAACUCACUAUUUAUUUAAGACGGACGACACUUGGUCCCAGCU